rnacentral:lncRNA from 1 species
GCCUUCUUAAAAUUUUGACCUUCAUGUGACCUUGAAGGUUGACCCCGAUGAUGAUAAUUGUGUUUUUUUGUAAGAAACACUUGUACGGGCCAUGACUUUUAUGUAGUUAUGAAUUCAUAUUUAUUUUAAAACAAUCAUAUUACACAAGCUUUAAUCGACCAUACAACAAUAUAGACACAUUUUAUGACAUGUCAAUCCAUU